UACGGAGAGUGCAAACGUUUGUUCGGAUUCACUGGGCGUAAAGGGCACGUAGGCGGCUCGGCAAAUCGGUCGUGGAAUCUCGACGCUUACCGUCGAAACGGCGGCCGAAAAUACCGGGCUCGAGGGCGUGAGGGGUCACUGGAACUCCUGGUGAAGCGGUGAAAUGCGUAGAUAUCAGGAGGAACGCCGGAGGCGAAAGCGAGUGACUGGCGCGUUCCUGACGCUGAGGUGCGAAAGCUAGGGGAGCAAACAGG
rnacentral:rRNA from 1 species